rnacentral:rRNA from 1 species
AUUGAACGCUGGCGGCAGGCCUAACACAUGCAAGUCGAACGAGUGGCGGACGGGUGAGUAAUGUCUGGGAAACGGCCUGAUGGAGGGGGAUAACUACUGGAAACGGUAGCUAAUACCGCAUACCAUCAGAUGUGCCCAGAUGGGAUUAGCUGGUUGGUGGGGUUACGGCUCACCACGGUGCCGAUCCCUAGCUGGUCUGAGAGGAUGACCAGCCACCCGGGAACUGGGACACGGUCCAGACUCCUACGUGAGGAAGCAGUGGAGCAUAUGGCACAAUGGGCGCAAGCCGGAUGCAUCCAUGCCGCGUUUAUGAAGACGGCCUUCGGGUUGUAAAGUACUUUCAGCCGGGAGGCGUUACCCGCAGAAGAAGCACCGGCUAACUCCGUGCCAGCAGCCGCGGUAAUAC